rnacentral:rRNA from 1 species
AUGAACGCUGGCGGCGUGCCUAAUACAUGCAAGUCGAACGGAGUGCAGCAAUGUACUUAGUGGCGACCGGGUGCGUAACACGUAGCUGACCUGCCCCUCGACGGGGGACAACAGUUCGAAAGGACUGCUAAUACCGCAUACAUUCUUAAGGAUUAGAAGCUUAAGAAGAAACUUAUGGGGUCGAGGGAGGGAGCUGCGGCCCAUCAGGUAGUUGGUAGGGUAACGGCCUACCAAGCCGACGACGGGUAGGGGACCUGAGAGGGUGGUCCCCCACACUGGGACUGACACACGGCCCAGACUCCUACGGGAGGCAGCAGUAAGGGAUAUUGCGCAAUGGGCGAAAGCCUGACGCAGCAACGCCGCGUGAAGGAUGAAGGCCUUCGGGUCGUAAACUUCUUUUGACGCUGACGAGGAAGGACGGUAGGCGUCGAAUAAGCCACGGCUAACUACGUGCCAGCAGCCGCGGUAAAACGUAGGUGGCGAGCGUUAUCCGGAUUUACUGGGCGUAAAGCGUGUGCAGGCGGCUUAUCAAGUGGUGUAUGAAAUAUCCAGGCUCAACCUGGAGGGGUUAUGCCAGACUGGUAAGCUAGAGUGCGAGAGAGGGGCGUGGAAUUCCGGGUUGUAGUGGUGAAAUGCGUAGAGAUCCGGAGGAACCCCAGAGGCGAAGGCGGCGCCCUGGCUCGACACUGACGCUCAGACACGACAGCAUGGGGAGCGAACGGGAUUAGAAACCCCGGUAGUCCAUGCCGUAAACGAUGCCAACUAGGCGCUGGGGGACUCAACCCCCUCGGUGCCGCAGCAAACGCGAUGAGUUGGCCGCCUGGGGAGUACGGUCGCAAGGCUAAAACUCAAAGGAAUUGACGGGGGCCCGCACAAGCAGCGGAGCGUGUGGUUUAAUUCGAGGCUACACGAAGAACCUUACCUGGGGUUGACAUACAGCUAGUACUGAGGUGAAAGCCGAGGGACCGCAAGGAGGCUGUACAGGUGCUGCAUGGCUGUCGUCAGCUCGUGCCGUGAGGUGUUAGGUUAAGUCCUGUAACGAGCGCAACCCCCGGGUCUAGUUACACGGUGUCUAGACCGACUGCCCGUGACAAGCGGGAGGAAGGCGGGGACGACGUCAAGUCAGCAUGGCCUUUAUCUCCAGGGCUACACACACGCUACAAUGGCCGGUACAAUGGGUCGCCAAGUGGUAACACGGAGCCAAUCCAGACAAAGCCGGUCACAGUUCGGAUUGUGGGCUGCAACCCGCCCACAUGAAGUCGGAGUUGCUAGUAACCGCAGGUCAGCCAUACUGCGGUGAAUACGUUUCCCGGGCCUUGUACACACCGCCCGUCACGUCAUGGGAGCUGGUCGAGCCUGAAGCCAGUGGGCUAACCGCAAGGAGGCAACUGUCCAAGGCAGGGUCGGUGACUGGGACG